AGUGAACGCUGGCGGUAGGCCUAACACAUGCAAGUCGAACGGCAGCACAGUAAGAGCUUGCUCUUACGGGUGGCGAGUGGCGGACGGGUGAGGAAUACAUCGGAAUCUACUUUUUCGUGGGGGAUAACGUAGGGAAACUUACGCUAAUACCGCAUACGACCUACGGGUGAAAGCAGGGGAUCGUCGGACCGUGCGAGAUUGAAGGAGCCGAUGUCGGAUUAGCUAGUUGGCGGGGUAAAGGCCCAGCAAGGCCACGAUACGUAGCUGGUCUGAGAGGAUGAUCCGCCACACUGGAACUGAGACUCGGUCCAGACUCCUACGGUAGGCCGCAGUCGGGACUAUUGCACAAUGGGCGCAAGCCUGAUCCAGCCCUAUCGCGUGGGUGAAGAAGGCCUUCGGCUUGUAAAGCCCUUUUGUUGGGAAAGAAAAGCAGCAGUUUAAUCCCCCGCUGUUCUGACGGUACCCAAAUAAUAAGCCCCGGCUAACUUCGUG
rnacentral:rRNA from 1 species